GACAGAGGGUGCAAACGUUGUUCGGAAUUACUGGGCGUAAAGCGCAUGUAGGCGGCCAAGCAGGUCGGAUGUGAAAUCCCUCGGCUCAACCAAGGAAGUGCAUUCGAAACCGCAUGGCUCGAGUCCCGGAGAGGAAGGUGGAAUUCCUGGUGUAGAGGUGAAAUUCGUAGAUAUCAGGAGGAACACCAGUGGCGAAGGCGGCUUUCUGGACGGUAACUGACGCUGAGACGCGAAAGCGUGGGGAGCAAACAGG
rnacentral:rRNA from 1 species